ACGGUGGGGCGUUCACGCAAUUAAUGGCGUGGAAGGUGCGUCGUCGCCGCCCUUCCGAUCUCUCCCCUUCCGGUUGUAGUGGUUAUCAUCUUAUUUUCGUGAUAGCAGAGAGGACAGGAGGCGAAGCAAUGGCGACAGCGGCCAUGGGCGAUGACGAGGAGUAGGAGGCGGCAGCUACCUCAACAGCGAAGGUGCAGAGGAGGUGCACCUAAGCCAGUACUCGCCUACCCCCUCGCCGUUCUGUCUAAUACAGCUGCUUAGCUUAGGGAGGAUCAUCGAGGAGGCGAGGUCUAGAAGAAGACACGAGAGCAAUUCAAGUGUCCACCACCGCAGACCUUGAUUUAAUUGAAUAAGUGAGACUUCGUUCAGAAUUGUUUUGUAGGAUUCCAGCAUGGUAUGGUUUUUAUGUUCUACUCCAGCUCGCUCAAGAUCUUGGCGAUUUGUGUCGUGGAUGCAGAUGUUCAGUUGGAUUCAACAAGAGGACUCUCUAAAUUAUUCUGGGUACGUGCUUAAUCGCUAAGAUAAAAAGAAACAUCGAUAGCCCACGUUAUUAUCUUGCCUUUGGUACACAUACUUCCCCCUGUUACAUGCCAUUUCUUUAUUAGCUCCCUGCUGGCAGAUACAUGCUAAUGUGAUCUCUGAACUGUUUUCAUGUCAAUUUCUGAUUUAUGUGUGACAUAUAUGGAGUUUUGCUUUAACUGAUAUAACAAAGAAACAAUUAUGUCCUAUUAGUUCUAGAUAAAUUGUAUAUCGGUUUGUAGCUCAUCAUACCAAUUUCAUUCAUGACAUAAGAAAUCCUUGCCUGCUUUGAUGUUGGGCGGGCCAAAGAUCCGCCCUCUUCCGGUUUUUUAUAUCUAUAAAGGAACCAUCGUAUGGGUCAUAUAUAUAACUCAUUUUUCAACAGGCUUUGGUGAUUUGCACACUCUCUUGGAUUUACUUGAGCACUCCCCAUAGCUUUUAUCAAUUUAUUUUGAUACGAGUAUUCGAUAUUUUUCUUAUUGUUUUGUAAUGUGUUUAAUGAUAUCAAAAUCUAUGUCAUUAUCAUAUGCGUGGACAAAUAUAUUCUCUUUAACUAUCAUUGUUUGUUAUAUUAUCAUGCAUGGACAAAUAUAUUCUCUUUAACUAUCAUUAUG
rnacentral:lncRNA from 1 species